rnacentral:misc_RNA from 1 species
CUCGGGGGGUAGGGAAUUCUGGGUAACCGAAAAGCCAAGAAUAACAAGCAGAUUGGAGAUACUAGUGGAUCCAAUUUGGAUGAAGGUAUGUCAAAGAAUUUACCUAAGAUUGUGCUGAUUACUUUUGAAGGGAAGGAGGUGCGGUUGAGAAAAUGUGUGAAAUAUUUUAAAGUGUAUGGUGUUGCUAGGGAUCAAAUGGUGGCAGUAGCUAAUUUGUUUUUAGUAGAUAGGGCAGAUGCAUGGUACCAUAACUGGAUCAAAGGUGAAGGGCAGCAUGGUUGGGAGGAAUUUGAAGGGGCUUUGUGUGUCAGAUUUGGAGAGGAAGGAUUGGAGGAUAUAGUGGAGGAAAUGAUGAAAUUAAGACAGGAGAGGUCAAUUGGAGAAUAUCAU